AGUCAGUCAAUACCUAAAGCAACUACAGUCCUUCAAGUCUUCCAGUCACAGUCACCAUCCCAGCAGCCUCUAAGAAAGAAAACUGUCGACUUAAUGGAGAGAAAUAAGAAAAGCCUUUCCCUGUUUAUUCUGCUGCCUCUGCUGCUGCUCUGCACAAGUGAUGAGUGUCCCAGGCUUCCAGAGAAUCUCACUUGCUACACUGACUACAAUAGAAACAUCACAUGUUUGUGGAACAGCAGAUACGUGUCUGAUGACACUGCAUGCACCAUACAUGCUCACUAUAAAUCUCGCUACAUUUCUUACAGCGCUUCCUGUGACCUAAAGUCUGUUGACGUCUCCAGACCAGCGCUAAAGAAGUGCUCCCUGAUCUUUGAAAAGAAAAGCAC